CCGUCCUGAGCGAGCUGAUCAGCCAUGCCGCGUGUGUGAAGAAGGUCUUCGGAUUGUAAAGCACUUUAAGUUGGGAGGAAGGGCAGUAAGUUAAUACCUUGCUGUUUUGACGUUACCGACAGAAUAAGCACCGGCUAACUUCGUGCCAGCAGCCGCGGUAAUAAGAACGAUAACAGCCCCCCCCGGUAAAUUUUUUUUUUUUUGUGGCUCCAUGAUUGGGGGGUGUUCUUUUUUUCUUUAUUA
rnacentral:rRNA from 1 species